AGAGUUUGAUCAUGGCUCAGAUUGAACGCUGGCGGCAUGCCUUACACAUGCAAGUCGAACGGCAGCACGGGAGCAAUCCUGGUGGCGAGUGGCGAACGGGUGAGUAAUAUAUCGGAACGUGCCCAGUCGUGGGGGAUAACGCAGCGAAAGCUGUGCUAAUACCGCAUACGAUCUACGGAUGAAAGCGGGGGACUCGCAAGAGCCUCGCGCGAUUGGAGCGGCCGAUAUCAGAUUAGCUAGUUGGUGGGGUAAAAGCCCACCAAGGCGACGAUCUGUAGCUGGUCUGAGAGGACGACCAGCCACACUGGAACUGAGACACGGUCCAGACUCCUACGGGAGGCAGC
rnacentral:rRNA from 1 species